UUUGACUAGUUUUAUUAUUAACAAAUCAAAAAGAAAAAGCUAUCAUUUUUCUCUUCUCCUUCACCAAAAUAUGCAGCAAAGAAAGGGCUUUGAAGCUGGAAAAUUUCAGCAACAUAUUUCCCUUGCUUAGUUUCCAGGUUAGCUCGGGUUGGAGGUCAUCAGAGAUAUUAUCAUACUGUCAAGUUAACGCUAUCGGCGUAAGUAAACUCAAGUGAUUCUAGUCUAUGGCAUGUAUAGGGUUUUAAUGUGAGUAUGUAAUAUUAUGAUUUAGCCAAAGGCAUUGGCUUGUUAUUAAGGUAGUAUUAGUCAAUGUAAAUUGGCCUAUGUCGGCUAAUAUCGUUAUGGGCCCAUAUGAUUAUUCUUAUGCAUGUAUGUUAUUAUCUCUUGUGAUGUGACUUACAACAUGUAUGCCUAGAGAUUGAAUUGAGAUUCAUUGAUGAGCUAAUAACUAAUGCAGGAUUAAGUGAUUGGUAAAUAAAAAAAAAAAAAAGAAA